CUUUGUAAAUGCGCAGUUACCGGUUCCUUAAUUGGGGCUGGAGGAAAGUCCGGACAAUAUAAGGAAAGGGAAGUCUCUAACGGAGAUCGGUGCGGAACCUAACAAGACCGCAUUAGGGAAAGUGCCACAGAGACAAUACUAUUUCUCACUUCGGUGAGAGAAAAAGGUGAAAAGUCCCGCUAAGCGGGGACAUUAUGCGUUUCUUUGGGGUCAAACCCCAUGAAACGGUCAGAAGUUGGUAAACCCUUCCCGUUGCAAGGUGAGACUGGUAAUCAAGGACAACUUUUAUCCUUAAAAGCUUGAUUACUCACCGCUCGAGUUCGUCAGCAAUGGCGAACCCAGACAGAUGACUGCUUAAAUACAAAAUCCGGCUUAUAGUUUAUGGGGGACA
rnacentral:RNase_P_RNA from 3 species